UCCGAAAACACUCCGCUUCACUUCAACGAGCAAUUCCUCAUCCGCUCGAACUCCGCCGAAAACCCUAAUUCCUCACUUGACGAAUCCAAAACCCUAACUCCCCAAUGUCUUCUCUUUCUUUCCCCCUCCCUCUCUCGAGUUCUUUUUCUUGUAAGCAGCCGCUCCGAUUCGAGAUUUCCUCUCGGGUUUUCUUCCAAGUGCGUGGCAAGUGGCCGGAGGCGAGGUGGCACGCGUUGCUUGCACAUCCGAGGAAAUCUUACGUGACUUCGGAAACCGCUUUACCGGCAUGAUCACGGUCCGCUGCCGCUCACGUUCGGUUCUUGUAGUUCCCAUUGUUUUGUGUUGAUAUCGGUUUGCUUACCUUGAUCUUGUUGGUUUCUGAUAUGCUUUGUUCUUUCCUUAUAACGUGUUGGUGGUGUUGCAAUGUCGGGAAGUUCUACCGACGAUGUGAUCCAGGAUUUCUGCCGCUGUUGGUGCUGCGCUGACAAUUAUCCUCUUUGUGAAAUGAGUAAAUUUUUGGAGGCAAAGAUUGUGACGGUAAUUGGCUGAAGUUCUGUUCACUUGAAGACAAGACUGGUGUUUCCUUGAUACUAGUAAUCUGGUUUAUAGCACUUGCAAGACCCAUUGCCAAAAAGUAUCAGUCCCGAGUCCUGACAUGUUUACCUUGCAGCAAUUUGACACUACUGGAGGCGGCUAUAUAAUAUGCUCAGCAAUCUUCCCUAUUAUAUAUCAAGAUCUAAAUGAAAUUGCCAAGAAGCGAUCCAGAGAGAGGAACCCUGUCACCGGCAGAAGUAAUACAUUGAGCUCUAACGCCUGCAUUAGUGCCCCCAGCUACUCCCCCUUUUUUUUUGCUUUAAUUCUUUUAUGUUUAUAACAAUAAUCAACCAUCUCUUGCCUUUGUGCCUCUGAACAGUCAAGAUAUGCAGGCCCUUAGAAGUCAUUAAAGAUGCCUCCUUCCUAAGAGGAUGUUAAUAGCAGGGAAGAUGAUGAGCAAAGAGUAUGCAGAUAUGCAAGCCUGAGGUAUACUCUUAUUUGGAUGUUAGAAGGAAAUGUUAAAGUUCAACAUCUAACACCAAUAAUCUGAAUGGACUUCUGCAAUUGCAUACAAAUCAAGGCAAAAAGAAAGCAGUAACAUCCUGAAGUCUGCAAUGUUACACUCGAUAUCAAGAAUCACAAGGCUCACACGAGGCACGAUGGAAGGAGAUGAUUGGGAGAGAUAUACCAUUCUCUAUAUGAGGUGGCUGGAGACCUGAUGGAGUGAUGAGUCGAAGGAGAUGAGUGUACACCAAAUAGGAAUACUGAAAGUAAGCAGGGGGGAUGAUCCUUUUGGCUAGCUUUCUUCCGGUUGAAUUUAUUGAUUGGGACGAAGAAAGGAAUGGGAAAAGAGGGGCAAACUUCUGAUGAUAUCAGAUAAGUAGGGAUCUUCUCGUCUUCCUGGGGGUUGCGGCUGGGAGGCGGGCGGCAGUGAUGGAGCAGUCGGGAAGCAACAACGACGGUGGGGAAGAAGUUGCCUUGCAGCGGCGGUUGAGAAGGGGAGCGGGGCUACGGUAGGAUGAGACGCUGGCAGCGUCGUCUCCUAGCAACGAUGGUGACUCGAGUGGGAGGCGACGGCCACGGUGGACUCUGGUCGGAAGCGGGGCAGGGUAGAUCGUUGGUCGGAGAGCAGCGACGACCGGCGAUGGGCUAGCCGCAAGCAAGGGAAGCAAGGGUGCGUGGCUUCGACUUCUCUCUCUUCUUUCUCUUAUUUCUUUCUUUCUUCCCUUUUUUUUUUUUUUGAGAUGAUGAACUACAACGAGAACGUUGAGGAUCGCUACUCUGAUACCAAUUGAUAAGACCCUAAAGUCUUAUCGUCGCUCUGAUACCAAUUGAUAAGAUCCUAAAGUCUUAUUAUGGAAGAAAGUGGAGAAAAGGAAAUGAUAAUGAUCGCUUUGAGGGGAUCGACCUCCUUGAUCGCUUUGAGGGGAUCGACCUCCUUGAUCGCUUCGAGGGGAUCGACUCUCCUUGAUCACUUCGAGGGGAUCGACCUCCUAAGGUUUGUCCAUAGAGUGGAAUAACAUUUCAUUGAUUGAUUGAUUCAAAGAAAGGGUUACAUCACUAUUUAUAGAGUUCUACCUAGAGUCCAUCGAGACUUGGACUCUUAAUAAUAAAUAAAUAUUAAAUAAAUCUCUAUUUGACUCUAACUGAACUCAAUAAACAACUCUCUAUUUGACUGUAACUGAACUCAAUAAACAACUGAACUAAACAGACUCAAUAAACAUUAUUCAAAAGCUCAGAAAAAAGGUCCUAACAAAAACGUAAGAUUCAGGUGGGAUGCUGUUUUGAUCGGUCUUUCAAUGUUUAAGCAAAAAACCUAAGAUUCAUGCGGAUUCUGUUUUGAUCAGAGCUUCAAUUGAAUAGUGAAGGGUGGGGUAGUUUUGUAUUUGCCAAUUUAUCUUCUUUAGAAGGUUGUAUCGAAACACUAUAUAAUAACAUCAGAUGUCAAAGAAAAUUUCAGCAGAUUAAAUGCAUAACCUUUUUCCCUUAGAAAAUGGUCCAAGGUUUAUGCUAAAUAUGCUGUUUAAACUAUGGAUUUUUCCCCUGUUAUUCCUAUGGCUUUCUUGAUAGAUCAUGAGCU